rnacentral:rRNA from 1 species
GACGAACGCUGGCGGCGUGCUUAACACACGCAAGUCGAGCGGUAAGGCCCUUUCGGGGGUACGACGAGCGGCGAACGGGUGAGUAACACGUGGGUGACCUGCCCUCAGCUCUGGGAGUAAGCCUGGGAAACCGGGUACUAAUACCGGAUAUGACUCCAUGACGCAUGUUGUGGGGUGGAAAGCCUUGUGCGGCUGAGGAUGGGCCCGCGGCCUAUCAGCUUGUUGGUGGGGUGANGGCCUACCAAGGCGACGACGGGUAGCCGGCCUGAGAGGGCGACCGGCCACACUGGGACUGAGACACGGCCCAGACUCCUACGGGAGGCAGCAGUGGGGAAUCUUGCGCAAUGGGCGAAAGCCUGACGCAGCGACGCCGCGUGAGGGAUGACGG